rnacentral:rRNA from 1 species
UACGGAGGGUGCGAGCGUUGUUCGGAAUCAUUGGGCGUAAAGGGCGUGCAGGCGGUUGGGUAAGUCUGAUGUGACAGCCCGGGGCUCAACCCCGGAAGUGCAUUGGAGACUGUCCGACUUGAGUACCGGAGAGGAUGGGGGAAUUCCCGGUGUAGAGGUGAAAUUCGUAGAGAUCGGGAGGAAUACCAGUGGCGAAGGCGCCCAUCUGGACGGAUACUGACGCUGAGACGCGAAAGCGUGGGGAGCAAACAGG